AAAUCCCUAACACUCUAUCUCCUUCAUCUCUUCACUCGCUCACCUCCUUCUUGGCAACCCACCCUCCGACGAGCCGGAGCCUUCGUCACCUCGGCCACCCUACAUGGGUGGCCAUUCCACUCCGAUCGAGAUUUACAAGGCGUGGGAAGCACACGAGGACAACCCCUCAACAUCGACUUGGCCAUCUCCUUUCCUCGACAUAUAACCAAACACCGGAACACCAUAUGUAGUGGUCCCUCGACCUCAAAUCAACAUCGCCUAUUCCCUCUCCUUGACAACCGUGCUACCCCGGCGAACCCAACGGCAACUAGAGUAUGGCGUGGGGUAUGGGGAUCAGCAUGGCUUGGGUAGGAGCACAACAACCGAGAUGGCUUGGGGUGCUUCAGCAGCAAUUUUCGUUGUCGUUUUAGCUACUACGCCUCGGGUCGAUGUUGCCUAUUGCAUCUAUAUUCUUGCACGGCGAUUAUCAUGGUCUUCGGUUUGCUACUUUAAAGUAGGAAGCUUAUGUUCUAUGCAUAAUGUCUUUUUAUUGAACCUAAUGGUAGGUGAUUGUUGAAAUAUUGAAGGUCCGGCACGGUGGCCGAAAGCUGUUGAACAGCGGCAGCCAAAGGUGGAAGGGAAGUCGGUAAUUAUAUUUUGUGAAUAGUACAAAUAAAAGAGAAAUAUGAUUUUACUAAACUUAUAGAAAAGAUUACAAAGACUCGGCCUUAGCUCAAUUUUCAGUAGGCUUAUAUAGCCCUUAACAAUAAGCUAACAAACCAAUUAAUCUCCAACUAAUUACA